CCGUGACCGGAAAUCUCAGAAGGGCUGACGUGGCCAGAGAAAAGGCUGCUUUGGGCUACAGUUGGAAGGGAGCAGAGAAAGACCUAUGAGAAGCUGCGACAAGUGUGGGAAUACAGUUCCUGAAUCUACUGAAAUGCUUGUGGGACACAUUCCAUGUUCAUGUUCUCCACAGUGCAGGUAUGUCACAAGUAUACUAGACAUCUUAUUUGGGAGCUCAAGAGUUUAUUGUUUUUGUUUGUUUGUUCUAUGAAGAAGUGAUUCUAUCUUUUGCAUCAGAGUUCCUCAGAUCUGUGGUCUGUCUGGCAAUAGAAACUCACUGGGCUGGAUAUGUGUUUGUGCACCAGUGUGUGUCUUUGUGUGUGUUGAGGGAAUUAAGAAUAUGCCACCCCAAAAUAUGCUGCCCUGGCAUAUUGAGUUAAAGGCACUUGAAAAACAGCAGCUACAAGAUUACUCUGACCUUCCUUCUCUUUCUUAGAAGCAGGAGAUGAAAUUCCCAUGUGAAAGAUGUCCUCGUGUACCAUAAGCAAAGUUAUCAUUCUCAUCAUCCAGGAUGCGAAGCUGGGGGCAAGGGAAAACUGUACAAACAAACCUUGUUAAACUAACUCUUAUCCUCCUCAGCACUUCUCUACCAAAUUAACUACCCUAGCCCAACCCCCACUGCCUUGUCACAUUUUUAUAAUUUACUGCUCUUUGUCCAAGUCAAAAUGUAAGUAUUCAGUUCUGACUACAUCUUUGGGUCUUCAUUUCCUCAUGAAGGCUCCUAUACUACAUAAAACUUACACCAAAUAAAUCUAUAUCCUUU
rnacentral:lncRNA from 13 species